UACGUAGGUGGCAAGCGUUGUCCGGAUUUACUGGGCGUAAAGAGCGCGCAGGCGGUCGUUCAAGUCGCGUGUGAAAGCCCCCGGCUCAACUGGGGAGGGUCACGCGAUACUGAUCGACUCGAAGGCAGGAGAGGGUAGUGGAAUUCCCGGUGUAGCGGUGGAAUGCGCAGAUAUCAGGAGGAACACCGAUGGCGAAGGCAGGUCUCUGGGCAUUAACUGACGCUGAGGAGCGAAAGCAUGGGGAGCGAACAGG
rnacentral:rRNA from 1 species